rnacentral:rRNA from 1 species
UAGGGAAUCUUCCGCAAUGGACGAAAGUCUGACGGAGCAACGCCGCGUGAGUGAAGAAGGAUUUCGGUUCGUAAAACUCUGUUGUUAGGGAAGAAAAAAUGUAUAGUAACUAUAUACAAAAGAGACGGUACCUAACCAGAAAGCCACGGCUAACUACGUGCCAGCAGCCGCGGUAAUACGUAGGUGGCAAGCGUUGUCCGGAAUUAUUGGGCGUAAAGCGCGCGCAGGUGGUUUAGAAAGUCUGAUGUGAAAGCCCACGGCUCAACCGUGGAGCGUCAUUGGAAACUAAUAAACUUGAGUGCAGGAGAGAAAAGUGGAAUUCCUAGUGUAGCGGUGAAAUGCGUAGAGAUUAGGAGGAACACCGGUGGCGAAAGCGGCUUUUUGGCCUGCAACUGACACUGAGGCGCGAAAGCGUGGGGAGCAAACAGG